CCCGGCACUGACUGGAGACCCAGGUGAGUCCUAGCAACUCACACGGCCCAACCGUCAAAACCACCUCUGUGGUGGGCGCGCACCCAACGCACGCACUUAGGCUCAAUCCGGGAGUCGCCUCCGGCCACUGACUGGAGACCCAGGCGAGUCCUAAGGAACUGACAAGGCCCAACGGUCAAAACGGCCUCUGUCGUGGGCGCUCACCCAAUGCACCCACCUACUCUCUCUCAAUCCGGGCGUCGCCUCCCGUUGCCAGGCAACGAGAGCGCGCGCAGCAAAGAGGAAGCGGGACUGACAGAUGAGGAAACCGAGGUUUGCAGAGACUGAGUGACUUGUUGAAGAUCACACAGCUAAAAAUUCAGGGAAUGGCUUAAAUAGAAUUUCAGCUUUGGGGGCUCAUAAUUGAGUGAGAGGCUUCUUCCUUGAUUCCCCUGAGAAGGAAGAAAUCUUCAUUUUUGGUUUGCAAGACCAUGAAAACAGUGGCAUGGACCCAAAGAGUGAGCAGCAGCAAGAUUUAUUGU
rnacentral:lncRNA from 1 species